UAAAAUUAUUCAAAAUAAAAAGUCAGAUAUGAGCUGUAUGACGUUGUUGGUACAAUUUUUUGGUCACAAAGAAAUGGGCCACAAUAACGUUAACAGUGACACAAAUCAUACAAAAUAUUGAAAAGUAUAAUAUAGAUGAACAGUGACUUGUGAUCACAGUUCAGUGAUUAUAAAUUAUGUGCCCUUUGAAAUAAUAUGAUGAUAUCUGAGUUUAAUUUUGCUUCACUCUCUAAUCUCUAUUCUGUAUUUAUCUAAUUUUAAAAAAUGGAUGCUCCAGGGGAAAAUGAGGAUCAAUCAUACCUUGGACAUGUUAAAAAGCGCCACGAGGAUAAAGGCUUUUUUUACGCUUGUUUGUUUGCCCUGUGUUGCUGUUUCUGCUGCUUCGAGACUUGUGAAUGUUGUUUUGAUGUUCUUUGCUGUGGCUGCUGUUGAUCAUCAAGGAAAAUACACAUACAUACAUAUGUAUGAAUAAAGGGUGUUCAUCAUUUCAUGAUUUUCUUUGUGCAUUUAUUUUUUAUCUUUUUGGAUUUUUUUUUGUAACGUUAAAAGAAGGAAAACUAGAAAAGAUAGUACUGUUCAAUUCACAGCAGUGAAUGAUAAUUAAUUUUAUCCAAUCUUCUUUCUUCCUUUUAAUUUUACUCUCUUUAUGUUAAUGUUAUUGUGUUUGAUGAAUAAAAAGAAAGUAUAUGAUGCUUUUAAUGA